rnacentral:rRNA from 1 species
GUGGGGAAUCUUGCGCAAUGGGCGAAAGCCUGACGCAGCCAUGCCACGUGAAUGAUGAAGGUCUUAGGAUUGUAAAAUUCUUUCACCGGGGACGAUAAUGACGGUACCCGGAGAAGAAGCUCCGGCUAACUCCGUGCCAGCAGCCGCGGUAAUACGGAGGGUGCAAGCGUUAUCCGGAUUCACUGGGUUUAAAGGGUGCGUAGGCGGAUAAAUAAGUCAGUGGUGAAAUCAACGGGCUCAACCUGUUAACUGCCAUUGAUACUGUGUAUCUUGAAUAUGAGAGAGGUAGGCGGAAUGUUGCAUGUAGCGGUGAAAUGCUUAGAUAUGCUACGGAACACCGAUUGCGAAGGCAGCUUACUAUUUCGUAAUUGACGCUGAGGCACGAAAGCGUGGGUAGCGAACAGGAUUAGAUACCCCGGUAGUCC